rnacentral:lncRNA from 1 species
GGGAAUCGUGGUUGACCUUCACGAUGACCUCUGCACCUCCAGGGAGGGGGCAAGACCUGUAAGGCGUCUGUGUUGUUUACUGAGCCCUGAACUUGACCCUUAGGACAGGUUCCCUGAAUACCCAAUAAAUGACCAGCAUCUCCAAACACGUGGUUACAAGAAUGGUGGGGGAUGGGGCAGGAGCGGUCCACAGGGGAGAAAGCCUAAGUCCCUCACCGAGACAGAUGAGGGAACAGUGAGAAGGCCAGUGCGGGUCCACCACUAGCCAGAGACUCACCCUCAGAAAUGGACACAGCACCCACGACUGCCAUGUGUCCGUGCAGCCUCCUUAGGGUCUGGAGCUCAUUCAAAAUGCACACACCCAAAUCCCACACCUGAACUAUGGAAGCUGGGCCCAAGGAGUCCAACAUCUCCCACUGCGCUGCAGGUGACUGGCAAGCACAUCUCCCUUGAAACGCCCGCAGGGGAUGGAAACAGACCUGCGUUUCUCUGUAGAUGAAAAAUAAGCCCCGACCUUCUCUUUAGUAAUUUAAUCUGUUUACAUUUAAAUUUCCUAUGAUGUGACCUUACCUUCUUGCUGUUUGUUUUCUGUUUUUACCACUUUUUCUCUCUGCUUCUGCCUUUUGUUUAUUAAUCAAAUGGAUCUUUUCUCAGUUGCCCCAUUUUGCAAUCCUCCACUAGGUAGAAACUGCAUAGUAUGCAAAAUUACAGGUUUAAAAAAACAUUUACACCAAAAUUAGCUAAUUUUUAUUUCCAUGUUCCUGUGAACUUUGAAGCACCCUCACAUAUUUCUGCUUUACUGGAGUGCAUCUAACCUGUGACGUUACCACCUGAACAAUGAUGAGCUCCACAACUUUUGAAACCGUUUAACCUCCUGCUGGCUGUUUUCAUUCUCAUCAAGUAACUGAGUUCUAUAUGCACUGUGAACUUCCACAGCUACUGACUACUGCUGCUUUGUGCACUUGUGGUUAAUUUUCAUUUCUUAAUACAUGGUGCCUUUCUACUGCUCUUCAUUCUUCCUCUAUUUUCCUGUUUAGGAUCAUUUUUCAUUUUGCUUGAAGAACCUUGUUCAGUAUUUAUUAUUUUGA